AUUGAACGCUGGCGGCAGGCCUAACACAUGCAAGUCGAGCGAGCGGCGGACGGGUGAGUACUGUAUGGGGACUUCCCGGUAGAGGGGGAUAACUACAGGAAACGGUAUCUAAUACCUCAUACUAUAGGAUAACCCAUAUGGGAUUAGCUAGGAGGUGAGGUAAUGGCUCACCUAGGAGACUAUCCCUAGCUGGGCUGAGAGGAUGAUCAGCCACACUGGGACUGAGACACGGCCCAGACUCCUACGGAGGCAGCAGUGGGGAAUAUUGCACAAUGGGCGCAAGCCUGAUGCAGCCAUGCCGCGUGUAUGAAGAAGGCCCUAGGGUUGUAAAGUACUUUCAGUCGGGAGGCGUUACCGACAGAAGAAGCACCGGCUAACUCCGUGCCAGCAGCCGCGGUAAUUC
rnacentral:rRNA from 1 species